UUUGCCCCUCUUUUUAGUCACAAAAGGAAGGCACGAGCUUGUCCCCAAAGACAUCAAAGAGGAAGCUGAGAAAUAUGCUAAAGAAUCCCUGGAGGAGGAGGAUGACUCUGAUGAGGACAACAUGUAAACUGUUGCAAACCUCUGUUUUGUCAUUUCACUGACUGUGUACUAGGUUUCCGAUAAUCCUGGCAACUCUCAACUUUACUGCAGACA